rnacentral:rRNA from 1 species
UUACUGUAAGAAUAAGCACCGGCUAAUUCCGUGCCAGCAGCCGCGGUAAUACGGAAGGUGCAAGCGUUAUCCGGUUUUAUUGGGUUUAAAGGGUGCGUAGGCGGCUUAUUAAGUCAGUUGUGAAAUCCUAGUGCUUAACGCUAGAACUGCAAUUGAUACUAUUAGGCUUGAGUUAAGAAUAGGUAAGUAGAAUUUAUGGUGUAGUAGUGAAAUGCUUAGAUAUCAUAAGGAAUACCAAUAGCGUAGGCAGCUUACUGGUCUUUAACUGACGCUGAGGCACGAAAGCGUGG